rnacentral:rRNA from 1 species
AGCAGUCGCCACGGUAAAACAGAGGGUGCGAGCGUUAAUCGGAUUUACUGGGCGUAAAGCGUGCGUAGGCGGCUUUUUAAGUCGGAUGUGAAAUCCCUGAGCUUAACUUAGGAAUUGCAUUCGAUACUGGGAAGCUAGAGUAUGGGAGAGGAUGGUAGAAUUCCAGGUGUAGCGGUGAAAUGCGUAGAGAUCUGGAGGAAUACCGAUGGCGAAGGCGACCACCUGGACUGAUACUGACACUGAGGUGCGAAAGCGUGGGGAGCAAACAGGAUUAGAUACCCCCGUAGUCCCUGUCUCUUAUAC